GAAGGGAGAAAAAUCCACUCACAACACUUUAACUUUGAACACCUAUAUUUUCAUCACAAAAACUCAAAAUCACACAAAUUCUUCAUCCAAAUUAUACCCAAAUCCCUAAACUUCCUGAUCCUUGCUUCCAAAGCUCAAAUUAUCUUGAAAAAAAAACCUUAAUUUCCAAUAAGGCCUCAAGCAGCCUCCUUGAAGUCCAUUGGGUAUGGCCUUUGACCAAUAGGAAUGAAGUUUUCCAUUCCUAGCCUUCAUCUAACCAUGCCUUAUUUUCAUCCCUCUCAAUAAACCUCAGAAUAGUUAAGAUUUUCUUCUUUAGGCUCUAGCCCCUC
rnacentral:lncRNA from 1 species